rnacentral:rRNA from 1 species
GACGAACGCUGGCGGCGUGCCUAAUACAUGCAAGUAGGAUGCAGUUGCGAACGGGUGAGUAACGCGUAGGUAACUACCUAUUAGUGGGGGAUAACUAUUGGACACGAUAGCUAAUACCGCAUACUAGUAGAUGGACCUGCGUUGUAUUAGUUAGUAGGUAGGGUAAUGGCCUACCUAGGCAACGAUACAUAGCCGACCUGAGAGUGUGAACGGCCACACGGGGACUGAGACACGGAACAGACUCCUACGGGAGGCAGCAGUAGGGAAUCUUCGGCAAUGGGGGGAACCCUGACCGGGCAACGACGCGUGAGUGAAGAAGGUUUUCGGAUCGUAACGCUCUGUUGUUAAAAAAGAGGUACUUAACCAGAAGGGGACGGCUAGCUACGUGCCAACAGCCGCGGUAAAAC